CGUCCCCCGCUCGUAAGUCGUCGUCUCGGCACUCUGCGAUCGGCCGUGUUCGGGCGCCAUCGUCACCGUAUCGGCUCUCAGCCCCACCCCGCGCGCUCGACGUUUUCACGUAACGGUCCUCAAUCGAGCGCGAUACUGCCACUGCGAUAGUUGCAAUGUUCUCCCGUCAUUGCGAUUUCAAUGAUUAAAGUAGAGCGCUGUCGAUACAACUCAUAAAUAUUGCAAUAAAAGGUAGAUAUUAAGUAUGAGAGUUUUUGCGCAGCGACUCGACGCGGUGCGGCGGUCGACAAGCGUCUGCGUUGGGGCAUAAUAAUUAGCAACGAUAAACAAUGGGCCUGGCGUCCUCUGGCCGCUACCUGCGCAUGACGAUAGAGGACGAGUGACUUGUCCUGAGAUGUCCUUGCUGCGCUGCGCCGCCUUGUCGCUGCACGCAUUUCGUACACAUCUUUACAAACAUUAUUAUACUAAUCGUUGAUUUAUUUACCUUCGUUGUUAAUGGUAUUACAUGUGAUUGAUUAAUUAUUUCUUUGAUCAUGCCGAUUAUUUUGUCACGUAAAUUGAUAACAGCAGCGUUCUAAGUAUUCUAUUUUUAAUAAAGCAUUAAAUGUGUUU